AGUCUGGUGCCAGCAGCCGCGGUAAUACCAGCUCCAAUAGCGUAUAUUAAUGUUGCUGCAGUUAAAAAGCUCGUAGUCGAAUGUCUGACUCGUAAACUCGGACUAGUUCCUUUUAGGGCUAUGCUUCGAACCGUUUGCGGGUCAUCUUUCUGGUUAGUGUUUCUCCCCUUGAUUGGGUUGGCUACACGAUCCAGAUCUUUUACUGUGAGCAAAUGGGAGUGUUUAAAGCAGGUCUUUAAUCACGCCUGAACCGUUUAGCAUGGAAUAAUAAAAUAAAACUUUGUUUUAUUUUGUUGGCAUUUAAAACGAAGUAAUGAUUGAAAGGGACAGUUGGGGGUGCUCAUAUUCAGGGGGUAGCGGUGAAAUGCGAUGAUCCUCUGAAGAUGAACUACUGCGAAAGCAUUCACCAAGGAUAUCUUCUUUGAUCAAGAACGAAAGUUGGGGGAUCGAAGACGAUCAGAUACCGUCGUAGUCUCAACCAUAAACGAUGCCAACUAGGGAUUGGCGAUCGUCGUAUGGUGACCCCGUCAGCACCUUUAGAGAAAUCAAAGUCUAUGGGUUCUGGGGGGAGUAUGGUCACAAGGCUGAAACUUAAAGGAAUUGACGGAAGGGCACCACCAGGAGUGGAGCCUGCGGCUUAAUUUGACACAACACGGGGAAACUUACCAGGUCCGGACAUAGUAAGGAUUGACAGACUUAAGCUCUUUCUUGAUUCUAUGGAUAGUGGUGCAUGGCCGUUCUUAGUUGGUGGAGCGAUUUGUCUGGUUAAUUCCGAUAACGAGCGAGACCUCAGCCUACUAAUUAGGUGUGGGAAUUUUCGGAUUCUAGCCCACACACCUUCUUAGAGGGACUAUCGGUGGUUAGCCGAUGGAGGUCUGAGGCAAUAACAGGUCUGUGAUGCCCUUAGAUGUUCUGGGCUGCACGCGUGCUACAAUGAUGCAUUCAACAAGUUGUCACGCCUUAUCCGAAAGGAUUGGGUAAACUUUUGAACUUGCAUCAUGCUGGGGCUUGAUCAUUGUAAUUAUUGAUCACCAACGAGGAAUUCCUUGUAAAUGCAAGUCAUCAGCUUGCAUUGAAUACGUCCCUGCCCUUUGUACACACCGCCCGUCGCUUCUACCGAUGAAUGAUCCGGUGAACACUCAGGACUUGUGAUUUUGAUGACUUCGGUCUAGAAAUCAUCGAGGAAUUUGUGUAAACCUUAUCAUUU
rnacentral:rRNA from 1 species